rnacentral:lncRNA from 1 species
ACCCAAAGGAAAGUAAAAUUAUUUCAAAUGCCUUCAUUCCAAUUAAUUAAUACACCAAAGUAAUCUGGACUUUUUGUUUUCCAGAGUGCUCAUCACGUACCGUCGUUACACGAACACGCACUUGCUGAAACAUUUGUAUUUGCACGGUUUGCGGUUUAGGUUGAUCACGAAUUUCAAUAUUUAGCUUGUAUUCGUCCUCUACAUACUCAACAUUGGGUUCGAGAACCGAGGAUAAGCUUUUUGUAUAUACAAUUCCUUCUAAACCAAAACGAGCGAUAAAUACAACAAAUCCGUUUUUAAACACUUUAAUAACAUAAGCGUCUUCUUCAGCAACACCACCCUUCAAGGCUUGUCCAACAUAAUAUUCUAUACUGGCUCGUCCAGCCAUUUGAGCCAUGCGAUGCCGAUAGUUAAUACCGUUACAAAUUUCGAUUAAGCGUGAUUUGUCAGACAAACUGGGAUUUAUCGUUUCAUAAUCAAUUGCGGCUGCUAGCUGGCGAUGAGCCAAUACAUCAGCGUAUCGUCGAAUCGGGGAUGUAAAAUGAGUAUAGAUUGGAGAAGCUAAGCCAUAGUGCCGAAAGUCGGGUGGUGCAAAUGUACCAGAGCAAAAAUAUUCUGCUGAAAGCAUGCAUCUUGUGGUGAGAAUUCGUAAUAAAGUAUUAAAAUAUGGCUCUUUGGGAUCCACGCAUUCGUCCAAAGAUUUAGCUAAAGAUUUUGAUGUAUCACAUUUUAGGUGCAUGCCUUUACAUACUCGUAAAAUAUCUUGAAGCGAAUCAAAGUUUGUUAAUGGUGGAGCAGCAUGUCGACGAAGCACCGCAGUUUGCGGAAAUGCAUCGUAUAUUUUUUGUGCGACAGAUAUAUUAGCCAGCAACAUAAAUUCUUCAACCAAAGAAUUGGUUUCCAAAAGCUGCUUAAUUUCAACAUCCAUGGGAUCUGAAGUUUCGUUAUCAGUCUGAAUACGAACUUCGGGGCUGGCCAGAUUCAAAGCGCCUUCAUCCAUUCUUUUUUGUUUCAGUAUUUUUGAAAGCUUUAACAAAACACGCAUUCCUUGAGUUAACGGAUCUUGCAUUUUUUGAUCAUCAAUUCGAGCUUGUGCAUCUGCGUAACUAAAUGCUUCUUUAGAAGCUAUUACAGAUUUGGUAAAAUGAACCUUAAUUAUAUUGGCGUUCUCAUCCAUUUCCCAAAUGCAUGAAAAGGCAAAACGUUCAACGUAUGGUCGUAGAGAGCACAAAUCUGUGCCAAGCAACAUAGGCAACAUAUCUAUACGCUUGUCUACCAGAUAAACUGUCGUUCCACGGGACGCUGCCUCGCUAUCCAUUGAGGUAUUUGGCUUUACAAAGUGAGUAACAUCGGCGAUAUGAACUCCAACUUCGUAAUUACCAUUAGGAAGGACACACGCGUGCAAUGCAUCAUCAAUAUCCUGACAACCAGGAGGAUCAAUACUACAGAUUAAUUUAUCUCUAAAAUCUUUCCUAUUUUUCCAAAGUGGAUGUGUUUUAUCAGCAGGAACCUUCCAAUUAUGACCUUCCUCGGGAAGGCAAUCAAGAACAGCCUUGGGAAAGGGACGGUGCUGAACAUCAUAUUCAAGAAGAAGAGCUUCAGUUUCAGCUUCCUUGGUUUCCAUUUCUCCAAGAUCUCGAACAAAAUGACCUUCUGGAUAACGACUAGAAGCAUCCCAUAAGUCUAUAGCUACUACAAUACGACGACCUACAAGUCUAGGCGCUUGCCUUGUUCGAAAUCGAAUCUUAGGUACUCGCCUAUCCAUAGGUGUUAGCAAAACUGUUUGCUGAGAACCGCCUUUUGACUGGGCAAUAGUAGCAUUAUCAACAUGGCCAACGUAUGGGCGCCAAUUCCUUUUUAAAAUACCAACCACCUUAGCGGUUGGAUGAGCAUUUCUUUUCGUAAUCAGUUCCAAGUCAUUUAUUCUGGCCGAAUCGGGUUCUGCUGCAGUACUCACAACAACGUCUUCAUCAUCAUCAGCUAUCUCUUCAGCUUCCGUUUUCCAUUGAUCUUGAGGUAAUAUUUGAAUGCAAACGAUAUCACCUUGCACAGCACGAUUUAAAUUUUCUCUUCCUGAAACUAGCACGGGCUUGUUGUAACCAGGAACAACAACAGAACCUUCUAAAUAAUUAUAAGUACUAAUAUUGAUAAGUCCUUUAUGCACUUCCCCAUUUUUUAUACAAGCUAACAGCCUAGACAUAGACCAAUGUAGUUCAUAUACGUUUUUUGUUCCAGACUCUACCUGCUCUUUAGAAGCAAUGGCGUCCGCAAUGGCCGACACCAUAUCCAGUAAAAUUUCAGAGUCGGGCAGGUACUGAACGUAGUCUUUCAAUGUAGAGACUUGAAUACCUUGUUCAGCAGCCAAGCGAGCAUUUUCGCGAUCAUCGGUUAAUAAAACAAUCUUAAUACCUAAGCUGGCCAAAUGACUGGCAAACCAACUAGCCGCGUUGCGAAUUGCACGAUCAUUACGGUCAUUAGCAGAUUCAUCAUCCAAUCUUUCAACGAACGUAUCAACAAAAAAUUCAUUACUAAAAGGGGUAAAUCUUUUAGUUUUCUCUUGGCAAAGGCGUUUCAUUCUAUUGUAUAGAGGAAUAGAUUUUGAAGAAAUUUCUGAAAAAACCGUUUGCAGAAUAAUGACAUCGAAAAAAUUAUUUGGAUGUUCUAAGGCAUCAAUACAAUGGUAAAAUAUAUUGGAAUCAGGGAUUAAAUAAUGAUGCCCAAAUUUCUCCAAGAACAUGGGCUUCUCUGAUAAAAUAGGCUCUA